UGAAACACACACAAUAUUACACAUAAACAGCUGCAACCAAUCCAUUCCAACAUGGCCUAGCGAUAUUACACAAAAUCGAUGCCAUUUUACAUUCAACCUCUUUGCAAUAAUAAGUCUCGCAACACUGUCCGCAUGAUGUUUGACGGAGUGGACGGAGUAGAGGGAGCCAUUUUUGUUUUGUUGCGGAGCAGUCGAUUCUUCAAUUUUAUGUUAAAAAUUCGUGAAAAAUCUUAAAGAUGUCCCAACAAACAGUGCUUACAUUGUUUAUGAGUGAAUUAACUGUGGUCCCGGAAGGAACAAUCCACCGGAAUCCACCCGGUGUGAGGUUCGUACCCCGUAAAGUACACGGCGGACGGCAGGUUACCAUCAUGUGGCCAAAAGAGUAAGAACACACCAGUGUGGCUCGAAUGAAUUCCAGAACGGACCUAGCUAGCGCCUACAGUGAAACGGAUCGAUACGAAACGAGUAUGAACUUUGUGAAUUAUUCUACUGUUUGGUGAAGGAAUCUAAACACAUCCUCGAGUGCCUUCAGGAAGGGUCUACUGCGGUUCCUCGGAUAAUUAUUUAAAACAUUAAAAAAUGUACUACAUGUUGUAAUAAAAAAAAGUUGAUGAUUUAAAUGAAUCUGUUUUGUUUUUUUAUUUGAAACAUAAUUUGUCUCUUCACCAUCAAAUUCUCUUCAAUGGUUGAUUAAAUUGCUUUUAUCGAUUUAUUAAAUCAAUCUACGCGGAUUAAACUAGUUUUUUAAUCAUAAAUAUGAUUAAAGAGAUCAAAAUGGAUAAAAAAGCAAUUUAAUCACCCUUGAGCAGAAUUUGUGAUUGCUUUUUUCUCUUAAAUCGCUUAGAUUACAUAGUACUUAUAUUACAUCGCGUCGAGUACAUCGUAUUAUGUACGUUGAA